rnacentral:sRNA from 1 species
GCUGCGCCUAGGCUGAUCCCCGAACGCCGGGAACCUUCCCCGGCUGGCGCGGCCCUUCAGGAAGG